GGUCUCAUGGUGUAAUGGUGAGCACUCUGGACUUUGAAUCCAGUGAUCCGAGUUCAAAUCUCGGUGGAACCU
rnacentral:tRNA from 1 species